AUGGGUUCAGUUGCAUACUUUGGAAUAAUGGUAAAUCAAUCAUCACCGGACGAAGUCAGCUUUACCCACGUAAUAAACCACCAGAACCAGUACUUUACCUUUGCUUUGAUCUACGCUCUUCCUCGGCGACUCAUGCCCUUCCGCUGGUCUUUCGUCUCCGGAUGAUUGGACUGUCAAGAAGCCACUUCUCCGCUCUCCAAAUCAGCUUCUUGACCUACCCACUUUCGCCACCCUCGUUGGCGUUAGGGCAAACGAUUUAUCUUUUCUUCCUUGA